ACCCCAAAGGUUUGUUGUUAACUACUAGAAAAUCAUGCUCCAACAAUAGACCACCUCUUCUAACCAUAACCAGCCAUUUAUUCAAUGGUUUAUCUCGAACAAUUGCCAGUCAUACCCAUUUAACAGACUACCUCUUCUAACCAUGACCAGCCAUUUAUUCAAUGGUUUAUCAAGAUUUUCUUCGACAUUUCCACCAGCUGCUGGUUCAGUUCAUUAAAAGUUACGUUUAUUCAAAACCAUUUGAAAUAUGCAACAAAGGACAAAUACUCUGCAGCAAGGGGCCUGCAUCUCGCAAGAAGCUGCAAGUCUCUCAUCAAUUUUCAUUCAAUUGCUUCAAGUUUUGUCAACGCCACAAACGAAGAAUAAUGUUUCCGAAGCUGAAA